UGGGGGAAUUUUGGACAAUGGGCGAAAGCCUGAUCCAGCAAUGCCGCGUGUGUGAAGAAGGCCUUCGGGUUGUAAAGCACUUUUGUCCGGAAAGAAAUCCUUGGCUCUAAUACAGUCGGGGGAUGACGGUACCGGAAGAAUAAGCACCGGCUAACUACGUGCCAGCAGCCGCGGUAAUAGCNUAGGGUGCAAGCGUUAAUCGGAAUUACUGGGCGUAAAGCGUGCGCAGGCGGUUUGCUAAGACCGAUGUGAAAUCCCCGGGCUCAACCUGGGAACUGCAUUGGUGACUGGCAGGCUAGAGUAUGGCAGAGGGGGGUAGAUUCCACGUGUAGCAGUGAAAUGCGUAGAGAUGUGGAGGAAUACCGAUGGCGAAGGCANCCCCCUGGGCAAAUACUGACGCUCAUGCACGAAAGCGUGGGGGAGCAAACAGGAUUAGAUACCCGUGGUAGUCCAGCGCCCUAAACGAUGUCAACUAGUUGUUGGGGAUUCAUUUCCUUAGUAACGUAGCUAACGCGUGAAGUUGACCGCCUGGGGAGUACGGUCGCAAGAUUAAAACUCAAAUGAAUUGAC
rnacentral:rRNA from 1 species